rnacentral:rRNA from 1 species
UACGAAGGGGGCUAGCGUUGCUCGGAAUCACUGGGCGUAAAGCGUGCGCAGGCGGUUUUGUAAGCCAGGUGUGAAAUCCCCGGGCUCAACCUGGGAAUGGCAUUUGGGACUGCAAGGCUGGAGUGCGGCAGAGGAGACUGGAAUUCCUGGUGUAGCAGUGAAAUGCGUAGAUAUCAGGAGGAACACCGAUGGCGAAGGCAGGUCUCUGGGCUGACACUGACGCUCAUGCACGAAAGCGUGGGGAGCAAACAGG